AGGAAUAUUGGACAAUGGAGGCAACUCUGAUCCAGCCAUGCCGCGUGAAGGAAUAAGGCCCUAUGGGUUGUACACUUCUUUUAGACGGGACAAAACCCCUUUACGUGUAAAGGGUUGAUAGUACUGUCGGAAUAAGCAUCGGCUAACUUCGUGCCAGCAGCCGCGGUAAUACGAAGGAUGCAAGCGUUAUCCGGAAUUAUUGGGUUUAAAGGGUGCGUAGGCGGACUAAUAAGUCAGUGGUGAAAGCCUGCAGCUUAACUGCAGAAUUGCCAUUGAUACUGUUAGUCUUGAGUACAGUUGAGGUAGGCGGAAUGUGUCAUGUAGCGGUGAAAUGCUUAGAUAUGACACAGAACACCGAUUGCGAAGGCAGCUUGCUAAGCUGUAACUGACGCUG
rnacentral:rRNA from 1 species